GAUGGGGAUCGAGAAUGGGAUCGGGACCGGGAACGGGAUCGGGAACGGGACCGGGACCGGGAACGAGAUCGGGAACGGGAUCCGGGCUUGGAUCGGGACUGGCCCUGGGCCCAUCGCGCUCCCCCGCCCGCAGUCCCGGGCCUGUCCCGGGGCAGCGCCCGCCCGGCGCUAUCUCGGGCCGCAGCCGCGGGAGCCGCCCCGGCCCCGCCGCACGCCCGGCCCGGGAGCGGAGCGGAGCACAGGGAGCCGAGCCGGGCCGAGCCGGGCCGGGCCGGGACCGGCCGCUCCCCGGGCAGCAUCCCGGCAGGGCCGGGCACGCCGCGCCCGGGUUUAUCCACUGCGAGGCGCCAGGCUCUCCUUCCCCUGUGUCCUGUAAGGUGGAACAGAGAAAUGCUGGAAUUGUUCACCUCUUCACUGCCAGCUCCCAGCUUCUGUGACAACCCCAGGAAGUGGAAAAGGAGGAUAGAUUUUAAAAACACAGACAAGACUUCUUCCACUUCAAGGCUGAAAACUGACAGAAGCAAUGUCCCGACUUACAGAAAAGUGAGGCUCAGAGAAGGAUGAUAUCAGCUAAAAAUCAUAAAAACAGAAUCCAGAGCAUAAGUAUUUAAUUGAAUCUUUGUGCUUCUGUAGACUAGAAAUGAUUGCAGAAGAAACAGAAAUCCAUAGCACAGGACUUCUCCUCCCAUCAAUAUUUUACAAGAUUGAGCCCCAUCAGUACAAUGACAUUUCUGCAAGUACCAAGAACAAAAACUCCUCCUCCUGCUGCUCCUCCUGCUGCCGCGGGUCCCUCCUGCCCCGGGGCUCGGUGAUUUCCAGCGGCCCCACUGCAGCCCGGGAGCUGCGCUGCCGGCAGGGCGGUGCAGGGCAGGGGACGGUGCUGUGCAGGGCUCUUGUCACCCCCGCCGGGCUCGGUUCCACAUUUCAAGGCUCUUCCCGAACGUGCCUUCGACGCCUCCCGCUGGCAGCACGGUGGUUUGGGAGAUUCCCAGUCCAGUCCGGGCACACUCAGCCUUCCUGCCACAUUCAAAAGCAAUGGAAUUGUCAGGUGGGGUGAAUCCGAAGUGGGGGAAGCAGGACCACCGAGGCGAGGCCGCUCCAGGGAAAGCAAAGGCCUGAACAGGUUCUGCCACCGAAGGGCUGGGAGGUGUGACAGGGAACAGAAUCCACGGGGACACGGAAGACAGGCCACCACAGCCCAGCACAGACCACAAAGGAAAGCAUUCAGACCUUUGGAAAUAGGAUGUGGUGCUCUCCAAAAGGACAAGACCAUAUUCCACAAGGAAUCAGUGAUCCACCCUGCUCGGGGGGCACAAGCCACACUCACACCUGGCUGAGCCCCCCCAGGCACAGGGGUGGUUUUGGGGACACAACCUGACCCAGAGCUCGGCACGGGAACAGGGAACUCCCCCUCCGGAUGAACACAACAGAAAUAAAACCUGUGGAUGAAAACUCUGCUUCACACCAGAAAGGUUUGCAGGAGGCAGAAGCACUCUGCAGAGUUCAGUGAUAAGCACCAGGCUGGCAGCAGAGGAAAAUAUGAAUAGGUAAUGUGUUUACCAAGAAUCUCUGUCAGUCCCGUUGUGCACCGCUGCAGGUCUACGUCCCCUCCUUCACAUUCGGGUUUCCCUCGCGGAUCUGAUGGGCACAACACACACACAGCUGGAAAGUGCAACAUGCCUUUGGUUUCCUCAGCUCUGGAAGCACUUCUGGGACGGCUGGAGCCACAGAGGACCUGGGGAUGUUACUGGAACAGGUGAACACCCCAUCACAGCUGGAAAAGGCCAUGAGCUAAAGCUGGGCUCCUUCUGGCAGCUCUGUGAAUUUUACAGUUCCGUGAUGUGGAGAAACCGGGAGGAAUCCCCCGUCAGGCAAAGCUUCACCAGGGAACUGAAACCCCUCAGAUUCAGACUGACAUGGCAAGGAACAAGGGAGAAAUGGCUGCAAACCAAGGGGCAGCUGCACACAAGCUGCCCCUCCCUUCCAGAGUCCAUCCAUCCAUCUCUCCAUCAGCUGCCCAGGGGACACGGCUGCACCAAGCAGAUGUAAAGGUAAUGGUCUGUACAUUUUAUUUCAAUAAAGACAUAAGACAAACAGCGUAAAGAUGCCCAGAUGCCCUAAAGAUAAAUACAUUUAAAAGAUUCUCAUUAAAA